ACCACCAAACUAACCUUCCCAGAAGCCAAAGAUAUCCUCUUAUCACCCCGCAAGAAAGUAUAGCCCUCCUCAAAGGCUAACGCCUGUGGUGAUUCUCGCUCUACUUCUGAGCACACUUUGUUCCUCUGCUCUACGCACUUCCCAUCUGUAGCACCACAAAGUCACAAAUGCCUCCUCCUGACAUUAGCCAAGCUGGCAAUAAUCAGUGGAGCAGAAGGAUGUUCAGUGAGGAGAUUCUCGUGAUUGUGGUGCCUUCCUCCAUUCCUUGGAUCAUUCAUGCAUCUGGACCUGGUUCCUCUGCCGGGCAUCCACUGACACCUUUGCAGAACAGUGCAAAACUGGUUCAGGAGGGAUACUAUCUACAGAGCUGAAAGAUGAUCUCAUGAUACUUGUCAUGACAAACAAGAAAUCCAACUGUACAGUAAGUUGCUGAAAUUUAAUCCUUCCCGGGGGUAAAAUCCUGGCUAGAAAAUCAAUGACAAAACUCCCAUUGUCUUCAGUAGGGCCAGGAUUUCAUCAUAACUCUUGAUAAGCCUCUUGUGCUCCUCUUCUUUGUUUUUGCUAUCAAUUUAUUUUUUUUAAUUUCAUUGGUUGUUGGUAGGUUGGUACUGAAUAGAUACACAACGAGGCAACAUUACAUUAAAAACAAAAGCAACAACAAAAAGCUCUACCAAAACAAAACACUUCACUGCAUAUACAAUUCUCCUACUUGGGAAAGGAUGAGAAAACAAAUGGUAUCUGACUGAUGUUAGUCACAUUGCUAAUUGCACUUCUGGAAGGUGCCCUGAUACCACACUGAUGAGUGUCAUAUAAGAACCUAUUUAGAAUAUCUUAUAUAAAAUACUUGCUAACACUCAGAAGAAUGUGUAUAUUUUAAUCAUUCAUUUAGUCUAUGGUUGAGCUGACGAUGCAAAAGUCAGAUCCAGAAAUGGAUUGAAAACACUCAGAGUUCUGAGGUUUAUAGGGAUUUUGGUUCAUCCCAUUAUAAAGAUGGGGAAGAUUAGCAAAAUUCAGAUUCUGAUCCAGAUCUGAGCUCAGACUUUGAACACUUUUUAAAUAUUGGAGUGAUCAGUAUACAGGUUUUGAGUCUAUUUAUUCAUUAUAUUAAAUGCUAGUUCAAAAAUUAACUUUUUCUUGCCAGAAAUUAGUUUCUGUAUUUUUUCCCUAUCAGAUGAUUCUCAUUAUAUGGUAAGAAAAUGAUAGGAAUGAUUAAACUCAAUACCCCAGAAGAAUAAAUAGUGAGGCAAUGUGAUUAGAACUCA
rnacentral:lncRNA from 1 species